rnacentral:rRNA from 1 species
GACAGAGGGGGCAAGCGUUGCUCGGAAUCACUGGGCGUAAAGGGCGCGUAGGCGGGAUGGCAAGUCGGUCGUGAAAUCCUUCGGCUCAACCGAAGAACGUCGGCCGAUACUGCCGUUCUUGAGGGAUGCAGAGGAGAUUGGAAUUCCCGGUGUAGCGGUGAAAUGUGUAGAGAUCGGGAGGAACACCGGUGGCGAAGGCGGGUCUCUGGGCAUCUCCUGACGCUGAGACACGAAGGCCAGGGGAGCAAACGGG